UUUUUUUGGAGCGAUUCUUCUGAUGUCUUGUUUGGGCCGGCCUUGAUUCGCGCGAGCAUCUCGCGUUUCUUUUUGUGGGCUGGGGUAGGUGAAGAGGAAGUGGCAGCCCCAUGGUAAUUAAGAGGAGGGGAUUGGCAGUUGUGAGUCCAUUUCAUCCUCUGUCUCUCUCUAUCCUUUCUCUGUGAAAAUCCGAAGAUCUCUGAAGCGAAUCGAAGAGAAAUCGCCGUGCUCCUCCACAGCCAACGAGAGGAUGGGCGACGCUGCGCUGAUGAGGAGAUGGUUUGCAGAGUUUGCCUGAGCCCUUGCUACCGCGAGAGCAGGUCAAGCGACAUUAGCAUAUUGUGCCAUGCAACGAAAGGAAUAGUUUCAACAACCUGACAGGAGAUACGCUGAAGUUUAAGGCAAACAAACGGGCGUACACCGUCAACUGCCACAAGGGGCCUAGAGAGAGUGCAAUGUAUGGGAGUGAGUGGAGGAAGUUUGUUUCAGACAACAAGUUGGGGAAGGGUCAGCUGGUUCUCUUCUACUUGGACCAGCCUUCCCCAAGGGCAGUUGUCUGUGUGAUUCAAUUCGGGAAUGACACUAAAGAUGAAGGAUCCAAGGAUGAUGAUGACUGCAUGGAAGUUCCAGAUGAAGAAGACGAGGAUGGAGAAGCCAACAAAAAACGAUGAUGACGACAUGAUUCGCACUAGGGUUCUUGAUCUGACUCAAGAAGAGGAAUCAGAUCUGGGAGGGCUCCUUCUGCUCAGCAAUGGGUUCAUAGGGUUGCCAUUUUGUGCACCGCCUCACGAGGACUGAUGUUUUUUUUGGGGAGCAUGAUUCUUACAGCGGAGCUCAUUUUCUCAAAAAAGGAGCAUAUUAAAGGAGAGAAGAGUUACUUGUCGAGAUCCUCGGACACAUUUUUAAUGUUGUUGUGAAGGAACGGAGUGACUAUAGACGGUGUGUUGCUGUUUUUUUAUUUUCCUUUAAGUCUCUGGAAUAUGGACCCAGGCUCAACAUCUUUCUAGAGGCCACCCAGCGGCACUGUUUGAAUUGAGAAAUGAGCAUAGACAAAGAGAGGAAACGAGAGAGGAAGGAAGCCGCAUCACGGGGGCGGGCACAUCAAAGUUUUCCGCGGCGGAAGUCGUCGGCGACAAGAUGCUCGGCGCCCCUCCAGACUCCUCGCGCCCUGCUGAUGAGGUAAGCUACAGCCCCUUUUCCCCUCUCUCCCCUCCAUCCCCCCAAAUUGUGCCCCCAUUUGCGUGUACACGGGGUGAAAUCAAGCUGCGGAUGUCAAUUUUCUAUAGUCUAGGGUUCGAUAAUCUGUUGAGAAUCACGAUUCCAAGAGGGAAUUGCAAGUCGAGAAGAGGGAUUUUUGGUGUUUUUCUGUGCUUUUUUGCGCGAAUCAUGAAUCUGAGACAGUGAAUUAGUGUUUGUCGGCUCGAGCUUGUACUUUUCUGUGGUCGGAGUGACUCUGGUUGGAUGGAUGGUUGUGCACAGCUGCCGCGACAGGAGGAUUCGCCAGCAGUUGUGCUGCUGUGCAUCUGGAUGGGGAACUGGCGGGGUCUGCCGUGAGGUGGUGGGCGCCGGUGGUACUGCCCGACGAAAAGGGGGCAGGGGCAGCGCGGCUGUCUUCUCCAUCGUCCACCGGCGCUGCCCUGGUCAGUGUACGUCCUGGACUCACCAGAUCCGGACCCAGGCCCCAUUCUCAUGGUUGGAAUUUGCACCCCGGACGCAUUCACAUUCACUCUUUUGAUCUGCACAUUUUUUGUUUUGGUAGGAGUACAUCUGAAUUUUAUGUGCUUGAUGAGAGUGUCAAUCUAAUUCUGUUCAUUGUCAGUAGACAUUCUGUGUUUGUGAAUUUACAAAGUAUCCAAGUUCACUGUUAGUAGACAUCUCUGAAUUACUUAAGCAACAUGCUUGUAAGUGGUCAGUCCUCCUGUAGUACUACCGUGCAAGUGAUCUGCACCUGUUAGUUGUUUGCGUGCACGUAUAUAUAUGAUGUAGCUACAGAAUUCCUAAUGCCAGUUUUUGAGACAUAUAUGGUGCCCCGACCCAUUCCCUGUUGUAUGUAUGUUUUUGGUGGCAUGAGGAUGCCACUGCUGCUAUUUUUUAAAUGUUUGAGUUAACUGAUGCAUACAGUUGAACAAGACUCUGUUUGAUUUCAUUCAGGUUGGCCUUAGUGAGGUGGUUUUUUGAUGUUUUUUGUAUAUGAAUACUUGAAAA